AUGGUGUGGCUGCAGUACACGGCGACCCGGCGGCAGCGCGCCGCCACGGCCUGCCUCUUCCUCACCGGGGCCGCGCUCAUCGCCAUCGCCGCCCACCUCUCCUACGCCAACAUCGAGCCCUCGCGCGCCAAGACUCCCACCCAAGCCCGGAUCACGCGCGUCGAAUUGAUUGAAGCUGCUGAUCGCGCUGCUGGUUCCAGAUACUAG
rnacentral:rRNA from 1 species